rnacentral:rRNA from 1 species
GACGAAGGAUGGCAAGCGUUAUCCGGAUUCAUUGGGUUUAAAGGGAGCGUAGGUGGUCUUAUAAGGUCAGUGGUGAAAUCUUCUCGCUUAACGGGAAAACUGCCAUUGAUACUGUAGGACUUGAGUAUAGUUGCUGUGGGCGGAAUAUGACAUGUAGUGGUGAAUACUUAGAGAUGUCAUAGAACACCGGAUUGCGAAGGCAGCUCACAAAACUAUAACUGACACUGAGGCUCGAAAGUGCGGGGAUCAAACAGG